AUCAAUAAAAAAAAUGAGAAGGAAAGUUGGGAGGAAAAUCUGAUGUGGUCCUCUAGUGGACCGCAUCAGAAUAAAAAAACUGAUGCUGUUUUUUCAUAAUCUGAUGCGGUUUCUAGGACCACAUCAAAUUUCUCCCUUAAAACGGCCCAAAAAGAACGGCCCACAAGUUACAACCCAAGAGUUACAGCCCAACCUCUCCUCUCUCACUUCACUUACCAUACACCUCUCUUCUCACUCUCUCUCCUCAUCAAAUAGCGAAACUCAACCUCUCCUCUUCUCUUCACCGCAACGCCACCAGCAACGUCAUCUCUCUCUUCAUCUCAUCCUCUUUUCACCAGAAACGCCACCAGCACCGUCAUCUCUCUCUUCAUUUCCUCAUCUCUUCACCAGCAACGCAACGCCAUUAGCGAAGACCAACAACUUAGUGAGGCGAUUUCAAUUAAUGCGAUUUCGUUUUUUUUUCUGCCAUCAGUCAGUUGUUUUCACUCGUUUUUUAUUUUAGUUGUGAUUACAAAUCUUUUUUUCAUUUUUCUAGGGUUUAGAAUGAUAGUUAGAUGCGAUUACAAACCUUUUUUCGUUUUUUUAGGGUUUAGAAUUAUGCUCUGAUUUUUAUUUUCUUUUCGCUGUUUGAUUGAAAUUUCUUUGUGAGAAUUGUGCCCUAUAUUUGUUAUGAAAUUGUUCAAUCUGUUUUUAUUUUUAGUUUUUUAUGUUGAUAUUUUUUUUUUUGUUUAAUGUUUUGGAUUUAUGUCCGUAUAUGUUUUUUUAGGGUCAUGUAUGUUGUUGUGUGUGGUGUUUAUGAGAGUUUAACACGUUGGGGCUUACAUAUGUGACUCUGUGAGAUUAUAGAUAGAUCUGGAUAGCCUUGUAUUUGUCUCACAUACUUCGUUUGAAAGUGCUAGUGCAUUAUUGGUUGUUUUUCUCCUAGUUCCCGUGUUUUCACAUGCGUGUUCUUUAUGAUUUUUUCUUGUCUGUUAUCUUUACAUAAUUAUUCUUGUUUGAUUGAGCAAGUAGUGUGCCUGCUUAGGAUUUCAUUUUAUGCAAUUGUCGCAUUCUGUCCGAUUAUCCAGUUCAGUUUAAUACUUAAAUCAGUUUAUGAGUGGAUAAUUAUGAUGUAAACGGCAUGAAGUAUUAAAGUAGUGUUUUCCUGGCCAAGGCUAAACAUUUCUGAAGUGGGGUCGUUUUCCCAUUUUUCUGAAGAGAAGGUAAACAAGUUUUUGCUUUCUGAUUGUUUGUUUCUAUUUCAACCUUUAAACAAGAUGCUGGCUUGUAGGCAUGUAUGAAGAGUGAUGGAGAGGCCUGUUUACACUUUUAAUUAAAGUAACUAUCUGAUUGUGAGUAAUAUAUUAACAGAAGGUUUUUGUUUCUGCAGCUUGAGAAACUUGUCUCAAAAGACAGUCCCACUACAAUGGAUGGUGGAGUGCUCGAUUGACUUAGGUUUAAGAGACUUCCCUGUAUUAAUAAUGUACUCAUUAGCUUCUCCAAUUAUGUGUGGAUUUUAUGUUAAAUCAAAUGUUCUUUCUGUUUUAUUUCCCUUGUCUUAGAUGGCGAAGUAUUUCAUAGCUUAUAGAAUCGAUCAUAUAUUGGUAUAUGUAGUAUGGUUUGAAAUUCUGAGAUACUUAGCUCUACUUUCUUGAUUUUGGACUUUGUAUUGUUGGGUAUUGCUAGAUGCUUAGCGCUACGAUACAAUGCGACCUUGUUUUGACACCAUGCACUCACUAUUAUGUUUGGUCUCACUACUUUUGUCUUUUAUCAACUCCACUCGACCAAAAACGAAAUGAGAUUAGUCUACCUCAAUUAACGGAUAAAUCAAAACGGGAUAGAGAAUAAACAUGUCUAUCACCUAAUGUAUCAUAAAUUAACCGAAAUUUAUGUUUUUUCUCUCUUUCCUAGCCCCACUGCAAUCUUCAAUUUCCUUUUGAAAGCAUAUUACUUUCGUCAAUUUAUACUUGAUGAGUUCGUUAACUAAAAUUUUAGGUACUUAGGUGUUUUUUUCUUAAGGUAGUAGAAUGUGGGGGUGCUGCUACUACUUUUUGAGGAAGUAUUAUUCUCACAAAAGAUGCUUUAGGGGUUACCACAACUGUACCUAUCACAACCUCUAUUGUCCUUAUUAUUCCCCUUUAUAUGUUAAUUUACACAUAUAGAGCAUGUUGUCUUUUAGUAAGGCACUAUGUUUUUCAAUAAUAAAAACUGAUUUGGCUAAAUUUUAGUUGCCUAAGUUUGAUUUUAAUUAAGGAUAGGAAAAUAGUGGACCCCACACAAAAGGAGUACAACCCAGACCGUGUACUACGACAGUUGGCUUAUGUCCAGGAUAUUCCUUCUUCGAUUCUUGAACCCAACUUUGCAUACAGACCGACAAACACGAAGAGGUAUGAGGUUGAGUUCAACAUAACAGGACACGAGUCAUCAUGACAGUGUUUCAGUCGAUCUUUAAGCAUUCUCAAUGUUUCGGGUUUGAGACGUGCUGGUUGUCUAGGAGAUUGUUCAUCGGACUACAUGGACUGGUAUUUUACAUAUUCUUAUCCGAUCCUUCUCGCUCAGGACACUAUGGAUCUGGCCCGACCCAACACUACAAACACACACUAUUGGAUGGCCCGACAUUAUUAUUGUUAUGAGAUGAUGGACCAGAUGGCUCAAGAUUGGAAUCGGACAUUGCGGUUAGACUGUGCUUGGGACACUCAUGAUGAUGAUGGUGGUUCCAUUGAGUAGUUUUGAUGAGUUGUUUUGCUGAUGUAGUUUUGAUGGUAUGAUUUGAUGUUUGGUUGAUGUACUACUUUAGAUAAAUUUGUUUGGUUGAUGUACUAUUUAUGCUAACAUUGAGACUUUUAUGUAGUUUUGAUGGUGUGAUUUGAUUUGAUGUUCUGAUUA